CCUCCGCCUUCUCUUCCUCUGCCUCUUCUCGGAGAAGAUCUUCGGAUUUCACUUUCGACGAUGAUUAUAGCGAGCUGC
rnacentral:sRNA from 1 species